GUGUGGUGGGAAGCACUGGACUGGGAGGAAGGUGACGAGAAGACAGCUAAGAGAGAUCAGAGCCACCACGGUCAUCGCUGCAGACAUAGUUUACAUCCAGAUAUCAUUGGCUGUCUGGUGAAGCUUCUCUCUAAGAUCCUGUAGGUGUUCGGCCAAUGGCAGCCCUCCUGAUGUCUACAUCUCCUCCACCAUCAGAAACACCGACACAUAUAACAGUUUUAAACACCAGCUAGAAAGUUCUGGAAUCCAACAUGAGGUCAUGACAGGACCAGUGACACAUGUGUUAUUUUACAACAGACAAGCCACCAUAGAGAUGAUCAAACUCUACAAUAAAACUGCAUCCCAAAUGGCAUCCUAUUCCCAUUGUAAGUGCACUACUUUUGACCAGGGUCCAUAGGGCUGUGGUCAAAAGUAGUGCACUAGAUAGGGAAUACACACAAUAUACACCAAGCCGGAACCAGACGUGUAUUACUGUUAAUAAAGUCUUUAUUUACAUC